AUCUUGGAGAGUUUGAUCCUGGCUCAGGACGAACGCUGGCGGCGUGCUUAACACAUGCAAGUCGAACGGAGAGACAUGG
rnacentral:rRNA from 1 species